rnacentral:lncRNA from 1 species
AACUUGCUUCUUUACUUGCUUAUAGUGGAUAGUGGAAUAGGAACUUGCUUCUUUACUUGCUUAUAGUGGAUAGUGGAAUAGGGAAUAAGUGCGAACUGACUCUGAUCUGUAUUCGGAGUCUGAUCCGGAUUAUGCUUAGGCUGACUUAGCGGGGGCUGCUGACUUUCCUACAAAGCUCAUGGGCGAACACCCUAAUUUGGAUGGACUUGAGACCCUUUCUUCUGCUGACUCAUCUAUUACUGCUGACUCAUCUAUUACUGCUGAUUCUAAUGCUCCUGACUCCUUCGUAAGCGCAACUUCUAACUCCAUUCCGUUAACGAGCGGGUGCCUUAGGGAGUUGGGGGUAUUGUUUGUAUAUAAUGGGGUAGGUCAUAUUCAUGGAUUCUAUGAGAGAUGGAUUCAAUGAUUCAAGUGUAGAGUUUCUAGAGUAGAGAAGUCAAGUUAGUUAUAGUCAGUAAAUAUGUAGUUGUAAGUUAGUUAUAGUCAGUAGAUAUGUAGUUGUAAGUUAGUUAUAGUCAGUGUAGUUAAUCAAUUAUGGAAUCAGGUAACAACCUAUAUAUGGGAAUUCUAGUUUCUGGGUGCCUCUAUUCGUUCUGAAGCUGCCGUUAGCGAGUUAAUGGAAAGUCAGGAGUCAGGCUACUUUCUAAUAACUAAAAGAAAGCAUCGUCAAUGAUAUAUGUGCGUGGAUAUGUUCACUAUUGAUUCAAUUGAGAAGAAAGAGUGCACCCCAGUGAAAGGCUAACAGGGAAAGAAAACAUUCUAUUCUUUGUCCUCUCAGAGCUAAUUCCAUAGCUGUGGACUAACUCGCCACGGGAAAGCUAGCCAUGAGUUAAUGUUCUAAGCCCUAUGAAUGAAUGUGCAUUUGAUUCCGAAAGACCAGAUGAAAUAGCUCCUCCUUUCCUUCUAUUGCAGCAACAGCACUUUAGAGAGAACACCUUAAGCUCCUCUCUGCACUAAGCCAAACUGGAGACAUAUUAAUGUGCACAGGCAAUUCGAAAAAGCAUUCUCCUACAGUUACUAGUCCUAGCAAAGAGCGGCACCAUCUAUUCUAGCAAACCCAGAGGGGCAGCAAGAACAAGAGGCUUUUUGAAGAGAUUGUGUUUCACUACAUACAAGAAAUGCAGAUUCUGAUUGAAAACCACAUCUUCCUCUGUUGGGCUCGAGUUGCAUAAGCCUGAUUACGGGGCAUCCCAUCCGCCCGGAGUGGCUUCUGAUUCCAUAGCUAACUAAGCCCUUCGUGGGAAAGAAGAGAGAGCCUUUGAUAUGAGUCUCACAGCUCCUUAAGAACACUUGCUACCGUGGCCUAAAUGCGUAGCACCUUCUUUCUCCGCUUUCAUUGAAAUCGCAUGAAACCCCGUAUUUGAUUCCUAAACAGCUAAGAGAUAGGAGAGCCAAAUUCCCCAUUAUCGAUUGAGCAAGCAGAGGAACAAGCUUUAGUUCAGAAAGAUUCCCCAUUAUCGAUUGAGCAAGCAGAGGAACAAGCUUUAGUUAAUAAUCUAUAGUAUAGUACUUGAGUGGGGAACCGACCCUAUACACAUUACAUUCAGGACAGAGGCAUAGGCACCGUGAAUAAGCGUACCCAGAACAGGAAAGAGAGACAGAGGAGUUUCGUUAUGAUUUCAUAAUGUGUAAGCAGUUUUGUUACCUCUUUCUAUAAAGUGUCCCUAAGCAGUAAUCUAUAUUGAUUUGAUUAGUUGAGUCUCAUUGGGUGCUUUUGUUGUCUACAAUAGAAUAAAGAAUGCUUAGCCCACGUAGCUUCUAACACUUACUGAGUGAAACGUGUGAGAGAAUCGGCGUAGCUUGUUCGUUCGGUUGAAAGAUGUUGUAGGCCAGGCCACGCAGCCAAGAAGAAAUGUAAAGAACGAGAGUUGUUGAAACUAGCAUAUUGGAAGAUCAAUCGGCUUAAAUAACCAUGAGCAGCUACAAUACUCUAUUGUAAAGUCUCUUCCUCUUUACCGAAUCAGUCACUUGCUAACGCGGAUUCGUUUUCAGUGAUUUCCCUGAUGAAACAAGAGUGGACCAAGGAACCAUGCAUAGUACUAGGGCCGAAUACACCAGAGCUACACCUAACAUGUGAAAUAGAUGCAUAAGGAUGUUGUGUUCUGCCAGUAAUACAAUCAUGAAGUAGAAAGUACCAGAUAUUCCAAAAGGCAUACCAUCUGUAUUCCUAAAGGCAUAUCGUCAGAGAAACAUCCUUGACUAAUAGAAUCAAUAGGGUCGAUCAAGAAAACUGCAGUAGCAACGAGCAUCAUAUGCAACAGCAAUCCAAGGACGCAUACCUAUAUUGAAACGGCAACUCAGGACCCAUGUAAUAAGCUACACCAAGUCAUAAGUGUCAAACAAUUAGCUUCUACGGGACCGCCAUUGUAGAACCACUCAACACAGAUGCAGCUUGCUUCCCGGAUAGGGUCGUCAACCUAUAGCUGUCAAAGUCGGAAUAAUAGCACUAACUAACCAGAGAGAAGAAUAUUUCUAUGAAAGGUAUAGAACGAGAAACAGGUUAACGAAUACCAUCAAUCAAUAUAUACAGGAGGAGAGCAGCAAUGAAGGCUAUCUUCAAUACAACGGUUGCGUUGCGGUCAAUAAGGUAGGGAUCAUCAAAACACCGAACCACCCAAUGAAUGUAAAGACGGUUUUCAAUGUGCGUAGCAGAAGCGACCCACUUUCGCGUCUCUCUAAAAUGGCAGUCAUGGUAAGAUCUUGGUUUAUUCCAUUAUUAAGGACUCCCAAGCACACGUAUUAACUAUAACUAGAAUGAGAUAGAUAAUAGAAAGCGCUUGUUAUUUAACAGUAUAGCAUGGCUUAUAUGGCAAUGUCAACCAAUCAAUCUUUCUUUCACAGUUUGUAGUAUGUGUUGCUCGGGACUCGAACCCUGAACUAGUCGGAUGGCUAAUUGGAGCUUUUCACAAUAGAGGAAUCAAUCUCUUCCCUCCCCAAACCAACCGUGCAUUUUGUCAUUGCACACGACUAUCCCUAAGCAAAGUAUACAUAUCAAAACCAUCCCGAUCUCCAAUUCAUAAAGUAUCUGAAUUUAUACUACUCAGUGGAUUCAACCACUACACUACUUACAUGAGCAUUUCAUAAUCAGAAUUAGUUCAUAUUUGGAUCUCUUGAUUUAGAUACUAGUUGCAGCGAGAAUGGAAUUUCCACAAUUACUACAUUACCUUCUGAUAUUAGAUUCAAAUGGGAAUCAAAAGAAUUGUUGUGCCCAACCGGCUAGGGGUAAGAAUCAUUAACCGAGAGAAGAAAUCAUAUCAUUUUGUUGAUACAUUCGCGUUUCACAAGUAAGGAACUAGAUUUAUUAACACCCAACUCAAUUAACGGGUUCAUCAAAAUGGGAACUAUGGAAACUGUGAUCAUAAGCAAAUACGUAAAUAUACUCCUGAAAAACGAAUGGAUAUAUAGGGUGUUGCCGAGAUCUCUCCUUUUCCAAAUAUCCGAGUCAUUCUUCCAUUGACAUUUCCACUUUAAGCGGGGGUAGGAAGCUUUUCUUGGGUUCUCAAAUGAUACAUAGUGCAAUAUGGUGAAAACUGGGUGAAGUCAGAGAUAGAGGCAGCUACGGGACUAUAUCCCAUAUCCUCAGUGACCGGUGCUUACAAAGCGCUUAUUAAUAAAAGGAAAACCUUGUUGAGUUCGAUUUCUUAUUCGCAUAUUACGGAAAAGAAGUAGCCCCACUUUCAAGUUACUACUGCCCAUUCAAUAUCACAAUCUAUAGUCUAGUUACAGAUCGAGAUGAAUAUGCUUCUAUAACCCUUAGAUCCAUGGGCUCGAAGUAAGACAAUCGUAGGACUGCUUGCUUCUCUUGCCACUUCAGCCUUAAGUCAAAUGCUUCUUCACUAUCCACAGCCACUUCUGAUCUUUCUUGAGUCAAUCCGUUAUAGGCCUCUGGAAUAAUAUCCGAUCCUAGUUAGCCCAUAGAAAAAAGAGCUUCACUCAGACACUUGGGUCCAAUCCACAAUGGCCUUAACUUCCUUCCCAGCCAUUCGAAUCCUUCCCAGCCAUUCAGAACCUGUUGCUCAAGGCCUGUCGGGCAAAGUCACUGAUUAUUUGUUACAUAUAGAUUGUGCUCCCUUAACCGAGCUUUCCUAAGGUGGUACAAGUCAUCCUAUAGGGAACUAACUAUGGACAAGAAUGUAAUAAAGAUAGACAAACAAUAAGAAAGCGAUCAAUAAAGUGAGAAGUUCUAAAGGACAGCAAUCAUCAAAUGUUAGAAAGAAGGUAAGGCCGGCCGCAUAAAAUGUUAGAAGGUAGGCCAGGCCGUUCUAAGCCCCAAUGGCAUGACACAGAACUCUAAAGCCAUAUCUGGUAAGAGAAGUGGUUUGAGGCUCGUCUCCCUGCUUCCGCAAUUCACACUUUCCUAUAUCAAUUCUAUAUAAGGUCGAAUGUGAAGAAAGAGGCUUUGGACAAUCGGUCGAAGAGAUCAGCCACCAAAGUGAGAGGAGACCCGAUUAUUCAUUCGAAUCUUGUUCUGUGCAUGAGAGUCCACACACAUGUGCUAAGAGCCAUCUUCCUUCUUUCUAGAGCUGCACAGGGCCGGUGCCUUGGAAGGCCUGCAUCUAGCAAGCAUUAUAGCACAACUGCUUCCGUCGAACAAGCGGAGAACAAGCAACUCCAUUGAGCCCCUAACGGAGUUUGUAAGUGGUAAAGAACAAGUACAGUUUUCGUCCAAGGAGCAGUCAUCGUAAGAUCCAACUCCACUUAUAAGUAGGUAGGUCAAGUCCGUAGGUAGGUCGAUAAUAUUAGGUAGGUCAAGUCCGUAGGUAGGUCGAUAAUAUUCUUUUCGUUUUUCUCUUUUGUUCGGUUCUCAACACAUAAGAGAGAUCAAAUCAGUAUCAACAUCUUCCACUAACAAAGAAAGGAUUUAUCCCAACUUGCUGUUGGUAGACAAAGAACUGCUAACCUACUUCAUUUCUAUCUAUCUAGUCAAUUCCUCCAGCCUACUAGAUCCCGAGCUAGUCAAUUCCUCCAGCCUACUAGAUCCCGAGAGUGAAUAGCAUAAUCAAUAAGGUUAUAUGAUUUAUCCGCAAGGGCGAAUCAAUGCAAUUAGACAGGAAGAAGGCUAGCUUGAAAACAGUAGCACUGGUAUAGGACUCAAAAGAAAGACCACUCUAUCUAGUAUAUAUUCUCGCCCACACAUAUCAAUGAAAUGAAUGGAACAGAGAAAGACGAGAGUGAAAGAGCGGGAUCACUAAUGAGUAUCUGGACAGACGCUCCUUGUGGGCCAAUUCUAUCUGUCUUUAUCAAACUAGCUAUGGAUCCGAUAGACAGAGGUAUUUAUAUAUUCUCCGAUAGACACAGAGGUAUUUAUAUAUGAAUAUAUACUUCCCCAUUAGUUUCAUUAAUACUUCCCCAUUUCUUAUUUCUCUAAUAAUGUCCAACUCUAUUCUGGCUUUUCCCUUCGUGAAUGACAUUGAGACUUGAUAAGAUAAAGAUCCAAGUGUCCGCGAAAAAUCAAGCAAGAUAGAUGGUAAGGUAAAAGAUAUAUGAAUCGAGAAAGGAUGUAUUGCAUGGUUAGGUAUAUCAUUUUCCACAAUGAGAUAUGGUAAUAGCUGAUCCACAUACAUUAUAGUAUGGAUGCCCAUGAUCAAAGAAGAAGGCAGGCGAAUCCGGUUCCGCUACUUGUGAUCAAAAGAAUGAACGUAUUAGAUCUUUCUAUGGGUCCAGUAAAGAAGGAAGAGAUAGGAAGGCAUCUUCUCUAGCCCCACACGUAGCGGUAAACUAAUCAGGUUCCAGUCCUCUAUCUAUCUUUCUUUGGUGCUCAUGGUAAGAAGGUGGAGCAUACAAUGAAUGGUCUUUCGUACCUGAAGUCGAUGCUACAUGCAAUAGUUGGCUUAAAGGGUUUCAAGUGUGGAUGCAAAGAAGGCUUUUGCAAGAUCGAAGAGAGCACCCAGACACCAUACUGUAGGUGGGGCAUUGAAAUGGUACAUAGGAACAGCUACCCGGAGUUGAUCUGAGUACCUUUGGCACCGAGGUUCGAAGGUGGAGUUCCCUCGCUUGCUGUGAGGAACAAGAUAAGAGAAGUGGGACAUUAGCACUUGAUCAUUAGCUCCUAGCAUGACAUGUACCGGUACAGGUUCGCCAUGCCAUAGGCCAGCCAGAAGGUUUCUCACUUUCAAUAGGGGAGAUGCAAGGUAGUGACUUCAUAGGAAGGAUGCAAGGUAAAGUAGUCCACUUCAUAUAGAGUUUCAGGAUCAAGUAGCAGGUCCGAUAGAGGAAAAAAGGUGGGAUGCUCUUCGCUCGUUCCAACCUACUUCCCCGAUGGGUCAAUUGCCAUUCUCUAUGUAAUACAAAUCCAUAGCCCUAUAAUUAUUCACCGCGGGCCUAGAUCCACUCAAUGCUUAGGUUUUCCCGGGGGUUAAGGGAGAAAGAAAAGAGAAACAAGCUAGAGUUUAGCUCGGCUCCAUAUCCAUCACUCGAUUCUAUUUCCAUUUAGGUGCUUGCACUGUUGUAAGAAUUUUCCAUAAUUGUCAUCGUUGCAUUUUGUACAUCUCAUUUCUUUUGGUUUGAGAAUUCCUGUCACUUUUUCCUUUACUUUAGAAUUAGACACUGUAAAUUGCCUUGUCUUGGAGAGAAGAGUUCAUAGCCUAUUGAAGUCUCGGCUUUUCCAUAAGCGGUAAUAAAAGAGAAACCAUAGAGAGGAGGUUUUAUAUCGACUUAUACUGUACUUACUUAUAGGAGGGCUUUACGAGACCAAGCAAUCUGACCAAAGGCGGAAUCACAAGAAUCGACAAAGAGCGGGUUUCUUAUAGACGCUUCGUGAUUGAUUUCCAUCCUCUUUGAUUUCUGUUCCGAUGGUAUAUCGACUCUGGGCUUUACCUCUUUGGGUUCUUCAUCUCGCAACGGGCUCCGACUACCGAAGCUAUUGGUGGUUAUGAAUAUAGAUCCGAACGAGGUGGUCUUAGUGAGACUCAAUCAACAGAAGCAUUACUGAUGUUCCUAGCGUUAUCCGUAAUAUGAGGUCCAUUGUAGUAGCGUUAUAUCUGUAAUACUCCAUUGUAGUAGCGUUAUCCGUAAUACUUUAGGGCUCGAUUGGACCCGAAACAACUCUCACUCGGUAAACUUUCACUGGGACGAUAUAUUGAUAUGAAACAAUCCAUUGAUGCUGCUCCCAGAACUUCCAUCCUACUCUAACUUCUGCAACCUUCAAACCUUCUACCCUUACUAUCGCUACAGGAAACUACUUUCUUUGACUUUUUCUCCUUCCUUUUGCUAUACUAGAGUUGACUACCUUUGAGAAAAACGAAUUGAGAAAUGCUACUCGAUCUAAAAAGUGGUUAAUAUGCUGGCUUUGGAUUGACUUCAAAUGAGGGUCUCUGGUCGAGGUGAUGGAUUAGAUACAACUUCCUUCACUGCUACCUAAAGUGAUGAGUCAACGUAAAUCAAUUCACUAGAUUGGCCAUCUUUUUCCUAUAGGGAGCUUGGCUUUCCACUAUUUCGCUCUGCCGAGCUUGAUAAGUUAGGUGUACAAUACCAGCCUAGUCUAAGUUAAGAGCCUAUGAGCUUUCUAUCUCCUUUUCUGACUCUGACUACCCGGGGCAGCUAGGAAGUACGAUGUUGACUACUAUACUUUAGCACCCAAAACUAUAAGCCUUAUCGGAACGCCCUGCCCUCACUUAUUUCAUUGACUCCAGCUAUCCACAUAUAUCAGAGAUGCAAAAUGGAGCAUUGCUUCCUGCUUCCAAAACGCAUAUCCAUCAUAGGCGCACUCCGCAACAACAAGAACUCACUUACGCGCGACGGCUUCUGCUAAUGCGCAAGAACGGAACGAAACAACAAGGAAAGCCCUUUAAGAAAACUAUGUACAACGCCUUAAAUGAACUACUACCAACGCACACCGGUAAUUUCAUCAUGGAAUUCGCUUCACCCUCUGCCUUACCUUUACCAGUAAACAAAUGAUUCAGUAUAUUCCCUUUCUUGUUGAAUUGAGUGUACCUAGCGUAUGAUAGAAUUUCGAAUAAAAGGCUUUCAGCACCUUGCUUGUAGAAUGAAAGAGAAAUAUGGGUCACAGUCGAAUUGAGUGCUCUCCCUUAAUAGAAGUACAGUAAACUCACCUCCCCUUGAAAACUCCGAUACUAACGCACCCCUUCAAUAGAGGAUUGACUCAUCCCUUGAAUAGAUGGAAGAAAAGAGUAUCAGCUGCCUUACCCUAUACAAAAGAGUAAGGAAUUAUUACAGUUAGCCCCUUGUUUGUUUGUUUACUUGCUUGCUAGUUUAUAGCGCUAUCCACAUCUCUGUCUGAUGAAAGUCACCUUACUGCUUUGCUUCAAAACUCACUUAUUACUUGUUGAACGAAUUAAGGCACUACACUUUCAUAAUGAAGCUGGGCACCCCGAAUUGCUUGUUUCAUUGGAAUAAGUCGCAUAUAAUGUAAGAGAUUCCAGAAUGUAGCUAUCAUAGCAUAGAAAAGGAGAAACUCUCACUUAUGACUUUGUAUGAUUAUUCAUUGAGUGUGCACCUUAUUAUAUAUGUAAUUGAUUAACAGAACUUGAAGACGAAGAAUACCUAGCUGACAUCGAGGUGCCAAACCCUUAUCAAUCUCCGGGUUGGUACAGGUGUCUGAGGGCAAGGGAAGGUUAGACGGUCAGACCCCAUUUUCUUUCCGGCUAACAAAAGAUCCGAAAGAGCGGGCACUCUCGCCUCGUAGGGAGGAAAUCAUUCUCCUACAAUCAAUCACCUAUAACUAACACCAGCUUGACCUUUGCCCCGCCAGUCAUCAAUUGGAAGCGCGCAAUGUGUAGUAGUAGGAGUCGUCUGAGUAGGAGGAAUAGUCGGAGUGGUAGGAGUCGUCGGUUCGUCUAUUCAAAGCAAGACGGGAGGAUCUCUCUCAAUAAAGGAAUUAGUGGAUGGAUUUCAUACCAAUGCAGGAAUUGGAUCAACAUUGAAUUGGUUUAGAGGGACCCUCAUAUCCAAAUAAUACAUAAUUGAUUAUAGGAACCCUUUCCCUAUAUACGUAAAGGCAGCCCAAUAUACUGUUAAAGAUGAGCACUUAACCAAUAUACUGUUAAAGAUGAGCACUUAUUAACUAAGAUACAGUUUCAGAUGCAGAUACAGUGAAAGAGAAGCAAGCACUAUAAGUAUACAAUACGAUGGAUUCACUUCACCCUUAACUAAAGCCAGGGCACGGCACCCUUAUCUAUGAUUCUUUUCCAAGCGGAGUUCAAUCUCUUUUGAAUAUUAAUAAGGAACACUUAUUCCAUAAUAAAGUCCAUUCAUUCACUCUAAACUAUCAUUGAAAGAGCAGUGCUCACAUUAUCUAAAUUAGAGAAUCCAAUUGGGUAACAACCUUAUAACUCAACAACUUACGUUAGCACAAACUAGCAACAAACUAAUACUAAUGCUUGCUAACGUGCAACUCAGACAAUUCACUACAGCGUAACAAACAAGCAAGGUUUCUGGUUUCUGAUGAUACUUUAUGCUUUUUUGAUUUGAGUCACUUUUUCUUUAUAAGUAAGUAACAAACAAUACAGCUUUCUCUUCUUCUGCCUGACCGACCCAACCUACGUAAUCUUCAUCUUUCCGGCCGGGAGAUAGCGGAAUUCAAGGUUAGCUGAACUUUCCAAUCGGACAAGGCUUUCGUGCUAGUAGGAGUCAGAUGCCCCUUAUUAUUGAGGUCUCCGGUGGACGUUCCCUUAGUUCCGCUCGCCGCUACUUUCUUUAGUCAAGCUGUGCAACUCGUGCUUUUGAUUCUUUAGUCAAGCUGUGCAACUCGUGCUUUUGAUAGGAAGUUGUUCUUCUGUGAAACUCUUACUUUUGUUGAUAGGAAGUUCCUCUUCUAAAGAUAUUCCUCUUGUGGUUAUGAUUUCAAAUACAUAUCAUACCUUCCUUCUAUAGGGUUCAGACUACCAGCCAAUGAUGGACCUGGGCCUACUACUGCCCAUUCUCAAAUGAAGUAUCAAAUCCAGUUACAAAAGUCAAACUACUUGUCUUCCCCCCCAAAGAGCAGUGGAAAUCAACCAAUGGGAAGCAGCAUACACUUAUGAGCAUGGUCCGCUCGUCUAAGGUUUCGAGACAAGAGUGGAGGAGACGUUUUCAAGUGUGCAUGUGCCAAUUUCGGGUUUGGUAAUGCUAAUAGCCGUUGUUGAUGAACCUCUUUCAAAGCCUCUUACUCUAUUCCAGUUAAUAAUCAUUCUUUCAGAUCUUUUCAUAAGCUUGGCAGAUAAGAGUCAUUGGGAAUAAUAUUCUAACCCUAGAAGCGAAAAGCUGUAAAGGCAGUCCUUCUUGUUUAGUUUGAUCAGGUCUUUCUUUGUCUUUGGCAAAGUUUAUAAAAGAGAGCCAAAUCGGAAUAGGACAGAAUUCAAGUGAAUCUUGCAAGGGCAAUCAUAGUUGUUAAAGCUAAUCUUGCAGGACAAUCAUAGUUGUUAAAGCUAAUCUUGCAAGGACAAUCAUAGUUGCCUGGGUGGGGGACUAGACUCAAAGCUCGGUUCCGACCAUUCCCGCUAAAGAAAAGCCAUUGCUGACGAAAACGAAAAGGGUAGGCGGUUGGACCUAGGACAUGUGUGGCAUAGCACAUUCGAGAAGGGCAAAGGGCUUUCUUACCAUUUGAAGCAAGUGCCUAAAGAGAUGGAUGAAAGUGACACUAUUGCUACUAUACCUCUUAUCAAAGAACUAACAUAUGCCCGAUGGAAUUGAGCUUCUGCUGUCCCUCCUCUACUCAUUUGAAUGAAAAGGGAUAAGCGCAUAGUAACCUGACUGAAACAAACUAUAGCAGAAUACUCAAUAGCAUUGGAAAAAGGGAUGACAGACGCUCUAUUUUAGUAAGAGUACAAGAAUGGAUACUUUCCACUCGGGACAGCACUAAAACUGUUGUACCUGAUUCUUUAUCAUGUCCCCUCGAUGACAAAAACUUGACUUGCUAGUUAGGGAGCGGCAAUGGCGUAACCCCAACUUACCUCAGAAUCGCUUGUGUGAUCUUGUUGGAGUAAGUGAGAGAGUUCAGUUACUUAUUUACUUGGUGCACUCAAUUCGUUUCUUGGUCAAAUGUCAAAAGGAGACCCCUCUUCCGGACCACGAUUGGAGAUUCCGUCCAGGCAUUGCACCUGCUCAACAUUAGGUGAAAGAAUGCCUUGCUGCAGAUUGAGUUGGCGCAGAAAGAAUAGGAUCAUAUAUCUUCUUCUACAAACUGAUUAUAGAAGGGUAGUAACUAAACUCCGAAACAACAAUAAGAUAAGUAUUAGCGCUUACGCUUAGUAUUGUUCGGGCUGCCUCUCUAUACGUUUUGAUUCUUUCCUUAGCGCUCUGGGGGGUGAAAUCCAUGCCAUGCCUUUAUUGAUACUUUCUUUCCUUCCCUGUACAAACAAGCGAAAGCGCCCGCAUCUUGACUAUAGGGCUAAUUGUGAAAGCACAGAUCAUGUUGGGCAGACCAAAUCCAAUUCCGGAAUCUAGUGAAUGUCGGUACCUAAAACAAGGAUAAAGAGAAGAUAAGAUAAGAUGGGCACCAUGAUCAAACUAGGAGAAAGAUAAGAUGGGCACCAUGAUCGACCUCUAUGGGAAGUUUCCUUAAGCCACUCCCCUCUUUCCCUGAAACCUUACCAAUGUGCCUCAUAGAAGAACCCUAACAGAUUACUCUCAAGAAUAUCAUAGAACUACCUUUACCUAAAGAAAAUCCAUAAUGUUGGCACCCCAAUACACAAACUGAUUGACCGGAAACCAAUUACGGCAAGUUGUGGGCAAGCCUAUAUACGUUUUCUUUAUUAUUGACCCGCACCCCAUACUAAACCAUCAUAAAGAGGCACUCAAUACUAUGGACUAAGAAAGGAAUGAUAUUUGUUAACUAAGCAGUAAUGAAAAGCCGGAGAUUUGGAAGUCUCAAAGACAAGGGCACCUGAGUAAGCUCUCUAAACAGUUUAGUUACUAUCCAAAUUGGAAUUAAUAGGAGAAAGGGAUAUUCAAAGGAACAAGAGCAAGCAACGAAAUAAUCCAGAAUAGAAUGAAAUGGAAUCUAGCACAAUAUAUAUGAUAGUAAAAACACAGCACUGCAACACACACUACUAAUCUAUCGCACAACGGCAAACAAACAUUAGCAUAAGGGCGAAGUAGAAACUGUAAUUACGGUUAACUUAUCUAACUGGGCCUCUGUCCUAAUGCCUAUGCCUCUGUUCUGAAUGUCAUUUGUGUAUUGGAUACCUAAGAAACUAACUGUUGACCUUUUUCUUUUCUUAUGAAUUUAGUGCAAAAGAAUAGAAGAAAGCGUUCAUCAUAUAUAUAGAGAAUAGAAGAAAGCGUUCAUCAUAUAGAGAAGAUAAUCAAGCGUUUUCAUCAUAUAGAGAAGGAUAAGAAAGCGUUUUCAUCAUAUAGAAUUUAGUGAACAAACUGCGCGGACUCCUCCAAAGCUUCACGCGAACUCAAUAAGCUGCCCCGCUCGAAUAAGCGUUAGCACCCCAGCAAGCACAAUAAGCCUAACACACAAGCAAACUAAGUUAGCGGAACUUCACUCCUAACUCUAAACUCACUGUUUACUCAACUGCUUCCUGCUUUUAUUCAAGUAAGGCGCACAACAUCUUUUUUCAUUGAACUAGUAGCUUUCAGUAAUUCCGUUUGCUCUUUCUCUCUUUCUUGCUGCUCCUUGAUUCCCUCUUAUUGUUCUUUCCCUUUUGACUUGGGCUUACUGGCAUCUGAUUCUCUAUACUUCCACCUAUUUACUCUAUACUUCCACCUAUUUACUCUAUACUUAACCCUACUAUUUCUAAAUAAGCAAACUGUCCGCAGCAUCCAUGGCAGAGGGCAAAUCCUUCCACCCUGCCUCCUUAGUUCCGUGCCAAUGAUUGUAGACCAGACGUUCAAUUGAAGAGCUGCUUGUCCUACUCGGGCAUAUUAUGGAUUUCAAGCAUUCAGGAACGGAAUUCUUUCACAUAUUCCCUAACCAUGCCAGUAUGCUUCAAUUUCUUGAGUUAGUCUCUUACAUACAUGCUUUCUUGCAAGGAAGGAACUUCUCCUUCUAUUCUUUCUUCAUAACUUCCCCCAUCUUUCAAUCUUAGGACGGACAGCAUAAGCAUCAUCCUCUAUAUCCGUCUUCUCCACCAGAGUUUGGCAUCCCCAGUGAGAGAUAUAUUGAUUGGAUUGUGACCUUUUCUCCCUCUGGAACACGAGCAUGAAGUACUCCCCCAUAUCCAAAAGGUUUAUCCAAGUGCUUGACAUACCGAGUGCCACUUAACGAUUUCGGGUCUGGGACAGCUGAAUCGAUAGCCUCUCCUCAAUCUCCCUCCUAUCUACCACCAAUAACCCUCCUAUCUACCACCAAUAAUAGAAUGAGACUUGUCUUCUUCCCAGGAUAUGCUAUCCGCGAUACCUUCUUUCGUCGAAACUAACAUCUGCUUAGACUUCGUAUCUAGAAAAGAAAGGGCUCUCGCGAUCAAGGACUUUUCGCUCCUUGGUUCAACGCUAAGUCGACUGAUGAUCAGGAAGUCUAUAGGGGCUGAAUCCUAUUAUCUUAUUUCGCGACUAUACCCCUAGGACAAAUAGCCUUCUUUAGUUUGUCUAAUUAGAGCGGUCAAGUCCGUCCGUCCCGGUUGGUUGGUUCGGUUGAGUUCUGACUCUUUCAUGGCGACAAUCCGUUUCAUCUCUCUAGUAAUCGACCAACGCAGAAUAAUAACCUUAAAGGAAACACCUAUGAAACCGAUCACUGGAAUACCUGUAACAGUACCAAUCAGCCAAGGAAGAAUCUUUCUAGUAGUCUCGGCCAUUUCCCCUACUUUCUUCCACAUUUGGUUCAUUCGGGUUUGAUUGUGUCAUAACUGCUAUAUAAUGAUCAAUUAGGUUUAUAGUUGGAUGAACAGCAUUGGUUAUAUUGACCCCAAUAAAGAAACGGUAGGUACAGCUAGUCCGUGAACAGUAAACCAUAGCACUGUUCCAAAUGGGAUAGAUUCCAUUUAUGGUUAUUGGGGACCGUAUUCCUUAUAUGUAUAUGAAUUCAAAAAGGAGAAAUGAAUCGAGUUGUUCCAAAGAAUCAGCCCGGUUAUCAAUGGAAUACCUUGUCGGCUAUCUGUUAAAUACUCUUUGGCCGAGGACUUCCAAACACGUCGUAAGCUAAAACCAAUACAGACGAAUAACCAACCCGCAAUGAAUAGGUAUGGAAGGUAUUCUCAUAUAUAGGUAUGGAAGGUAUUCUCAUAUAGAUCCGCAAUGAAUAGGUAUGGAAGGGUAUUCUCAUAUAUAGGUAUGGAAGGCCUCUAAUAUGGAUGAAUGACCCAGUAUCAAUACAGUUUCUAAUAUCAGCAAUAGAAUGUUAUCUCGUGCUUCCAGACAUUCUGAGCUCCACUUCAUUAUUGUACAUUCAAAAAGGGAAUCGAUUCCUUGAAAGAUGGGAUCAGUAAAUAGAGAACUACGGAUAUUGCAUCUUUGUGAGAUCGUCAAUUUAGUAUAGAAGGGUGUUUUAUUUAAAGUAUACCGAAUCAGUAUAGCUAUCCUUCCUCUGGCACAGCAACGCAGUCUCGAUCGGUACCGAAAUGCUACUACAUUCCUUUGUUGUUCCUUGUCUAUGCACAUAACUCUAUGUUAUUCAAUGGAUCAAUAGAAAAUGACUCCAAUUCAAUCUCAAGAGCCUUUGACUUUUCUUUUAGGAAAGAGAGCAAUCUCAUAAUCCUUAUUAAUAGCGAGGGAAAUCCUUAUUAAUAGCGAGGGAAGUCCUUAUUAAUAGCGAGGGAAGGUCGGUCAAUAAUAUAGGUAGUUUUGGGCUGUUCCAUUCUUUUGAUUUCAUGUUAUGGGUUGGUCUACGAAUUCCAUUAUUAGAUACUAGCCUUAAGACUAAGGACCCUGAAUGAGUAUAUACUUGUUUCAUAAAGGAAGCAGUAACCCAGUUUGCCAUAUUCGUGAUGCAACCGUUAUUGUAUUAGAUCCAAAACAAAGGUUCUUUCUUGACCGAACUAUAAGUAUGGAACUCUAUUAUAUGGAAAGACAGAAUAUGGAAUUUAGCGAAGUAGAAAGUAUCGUUUUGAAACCAACCUGUUGACUUUUUCUUGAAUGAAUUACGCCGUCCCUACGGUUCCUCUCCCUCCUACCCUUUGAAGAAUCGUUCAACUCAUUAUCAAUUUAUGGAAUCUAUAGUGUUCUGUAUCGAAAGCACACUCGCUGGUAGUUCUCAAUGUUUAUCCGAACAUAACAGUUUUCAGAGUAUAGGCGAAACUCCGCUUCCGGGAGUAUAGUCUCCCCAGAAAUAAGAAUGAGUGAAAUGCCAAGCACUUUGCAAAGAAGCAUGCGAUCAACUAUCUGCGUACGAAUUAUGACCCUUCGGGAGAUUUUUCAUCUGGCUUGCAUGAGAGGGAGGAAAUCGGUUUGGUAUCAAAACAAACACACUUUCCUAUUAUUGGAUACUUGAUAAGCUCUCUCAAUCUUGGGAAUCUAUCUCAAUGCAGUUCAACAUCAAUUCUUUCUCACCCGCCUCGCGUAAGCACAAUGCCUUUCGCCCUUUGUUUGUUGCUUCUGGAACUACACUCGUAUUCAGCAGAUCCUUAAUCUUGGGUCAGGAAUUGCUUCUCAAUAGGGAACCCACGUGAUGGUCUGGUAUCUCCCAAUCCGCUUCCCGGUUGCCCAGGUUCGUCAAAAGGGAAAAGUCGCUUGGGACAGUAAGUGUCUUAGGGCCCAAAUGAAGAAUGCAUUGAUCCAGGGCAGGGGGCGCCUCCCGAAAUAAUCAACUGACUCUUCAAUCAAGUCGCUAAAGAUUCUCUAUCUUCCUGCUUUUCAAGACCCGAUAGGUCAAAUCAAAAGCACAAUGGGAAGUGCGAUAUAGCCUUGCUUAUGCUUUUCAAGACCCGAUAAGUAGAAUCAAGAGCACAAUGGGAAGUGUGAUAUAGCCUUGGAAACAAAUGGUACCACGGAGAGAGAUGUCAGAUUCCAUUCCAUAUGUGAUUGAUGUCGUAUUGAUGAGGCAGAGUUGAGCUAGUGAACAAGUCGUUGGCGUUGUGCUUACUUUGUUUCGGGGCUACCCUAGCGCUUGCUUCUUUUUGAUUAAAGUCAAAACACACACACUUCCGUUUAUUAUGCUUUGUGCUCUACUUUAGCAGUUUAUGAAUAAGGUAAUCUCGCGUCUAGAGCUAGGUGUGCAUAGCAUAUAAUAGCAGUCUGGGACCCUAAUCUCAGUGAUAUUGUAUUUACUCUUUCAUUAUUUACCGUGGGAGGUAUAAAGCCGCUCCUAUUUCUUGUGCAAAACUAGGGAAUACGUCCUAAAAACCAGCUAAGGAACUACCGAGCAGAAGCACUUAAGCCCUGACUUACAAAGAGUUAUCCAGAGGAGGAGACGCAGGAGCAGUUUCUUUAAAUCCAGUCAUUUCAGUUGAAUAUCCCGCUUCGCCAUAAGAAGAAGUUCAUGCUCUAUUGCAAAGUACUAAUUUUCAAAAAAGAAAGAAAUUGAUAGAAUUUCAAACUUAACGCUCCGAAUGAUUGAUGGUUCACUCAAUACACCCUCUCCUCUGUUAACUGACCGGCACUGAAAGCAAUGGCACUGAAAGCAAUAGUAAUUGAGCUCAAAGGCGCCGAUGCAAGUAAAAGAGGUCUGGUCAGGGAGAAUCAAUGGAAUAAACAGAGCUUUCUUAAGGUUUCUCAAGACUAUGUUUGAUGGUUUCUCAAGACUAUGUUAGGUGGGAAGUAGGAAGAAUUAGGUUUUCUCGUUGUUUAACAACUGUUAACUAAUCAAAUAGUUAAUUACUUAUUAAAGACCCCAUCAAACUUGAGCUAUUUAAACGUUAGGUAAGGGUCCUAUCCUUUUCUAGGAGUUCCUUACUUCUUUGACUUUUCUUUCAAUGGGUGAAUCAAUUCGGUCGACAUUUCGGACACAGUAAACACUUAGAGGAGCUAUGCGGGAAUCUCUCUUGCAAAGGUCGGGAAGUGAGUUUUGAAGCAUUAGUAAGGGGGAAGGAUCCCUUUCCUUUCUCAGGGCACUCUAAUAGAAGCCUGCGUGGUUCAACUCCUUAGUUUGGGACAUCUGCACAUAUGGGAUCGUGCCUCUGGGCUGCGCUGCGCACGAGAGGAUUCCUGCUAGUAUGUUCGUGUUCGUGCCUAGCGCCCGAGUUUCAAUGCUAAAUAAGAACAUACUUUUUGCUUCCUGCUCGUCUGAUUGUAAAGAGUGGUCACCUAACACGCGGUCGGCACGCGUUACUCUUUCGGGUGGAAGGAAUUUCAUCGUAUACCAAGAUUUCUUCAAGAUAAACUAUUAUUGAAAUAAGGAUUUCUUCACGUAAUCCAUCCAUAAACCCCCGGUUACCUUCGUCACCGUCACGACUCUUUCCAAAGGUUACCCGUCAUCUCAUCUCCAGUGGACUUCAAUCGCGAAUUCUCAGGUGGAAUCAUUUUAGGAAGGGCAAAUGAGACUGGCCUGAUCCUUUGAGUCCCUGGGGCUUUGACUUCUAAACGUCUUCGUUCGUGGUGCAUUCUUUCAGUCCCGAAAAAGGGGUUAGCCCUCCUGGAAUCCUUCUCCUUCUAUCUCUCUCUAAAGUUGAAACCCUAGCAUCUGACUCCGCGGUUACCUUGAUCCUCAAAGUAGUAACCAUCCUUUCUUACAAAAAAAGGUGCAAUUGUGGAAUCCCGAAGAUGCAAUUGUGGAAUCCCGAAGAAAGAAGAACUCCUUAUCGGGGGUUUGCUAAAGAUUUCUAUCAAAGUGGGGGCUAGGCUAACUCCUCGAGUGACAAACGAUUGCUUUAGCUUUCUUGGUUGACUAUUCCAGAGUACUUUCGGUGCCUGCUAACGUCCAAAUAGCAAAAUCACUCCACUUCCGACUUUUCCUUAGCCUUACUUAGGAGUCUCAAAUAACAGGCAUUACAUUAGAACAUUCGUUCCUAGUUUUUGAAUGGAAUAGUUUGAUCAAAUCUCCAAGAAUCAAAAGUAUAACUCGCUCGAAUGUGAUUCAAUUAGAAUUCUUAUAUCCCACUGACUUCCCCACCCAACUAACUCCCUUUGCUUUCAUUCCCUGGGCCAAGCAACUACGUGACUUCUCAAUCUCAUUUACCACUUCGUCUUGUGUUUCACUGGCUUUGAAGAAUCAUAAAGAUCCGGAUCUACUGCUGGGCGAGAGGGUAAACUUCACUAUGUCUUUACUCACUUCUAUAUUUGGUGCUUUAAACACAUUAUGGAAAUAUUCUUUGUGAAAUAUUCUUUGAUUUGACUUGUGUAUUAGCUGGAAUAGAGUCCUUGAAAGGAAACACUCUAACCUGCGAGCGGCGAGCUGGACAAUAAGACCUUUUCGCGUCUAUAUGCCUUUGUUCAACUCAACGUAGCUUAUGUCAUAUCUCCACAUUUAGACUCUGCUAUCGGCCCUGAUAAUUCACAUUUGAGCCUAGAAAGAUGGAUCACAUUCUAUUCCCCUGUUGUUUACCCUUACUUAAACAACGAUAAUGGGAAUUGAGCUGAGCAAGAAAAGAUUUCACUGACGCCACGUUAGCUUGUUAACUUGUUCUCGCUCGUGAAAACAAAAGAGACUCCACUGAAAUACUUAGCGCACCGGAAGUUAGGGCAAAUAAGGAUUGAACGCCAGAUAUAGAGAGUAGUUAACCAGAUUGAGAGUCCUUUCGGACCCGCUUCCUUCCUUAUUACUCUGAUUCUAUAUACGAUAACACUAGAACAAGCUAAUACUGGAAUUGCCGCCAAUAACGGAUCUAGCAGAGAAUGCCCGAACUCAUUCAAUAAGAAAGAUGUUUCUUGCGUUGCCCGAGCUCACUAGAGAACCCUAGCUAUAGUAAUUAUGAUAUAUUCUUAGACUUACGUAUCGGGUAACUGCACAUACUCCUUGUUCUUGCGAACGGCUUGUUUAAUUGCUGAACUAACUCCUAAGCGCUUAAUUCUACUAAGCUUAUUCUCUUGCACAUUGUAUAGAAAGAGUAAUCGAACUGCUUAAGUAGCAUAGUAUAGUAUAGAAUAAUAUAUGAAACAAAUAGUCAAGAAGAAGAUAUUAAGCAAACGGCUAUUACUUGAAAAUAAAGUGAGCCCACCUCCCUUGCUUUUAAAAGAAUGGAAAUUAGUGAACUUAGGAGCAGCGCAAACAAGCAAUGGCGCUAUUGUGUUUGGGUGCAACUUACUAUUAGUUUCCAGAACAAGUCCAUUAUUUUAGGCAAAGAUGCAUUUAUAGGACAUAGGCAUUAGGCACCCGCUUAAAGUCACCCCAAGUCUUGUGUUUUAGCUAAAGUGAAGUUAAUUGCGUGCGCGUUACGUUAUAAGAGUUAUCGUCGUUGAACAGAGGUUGACUACCCGUCAUAGCUCAUUCCAUUUCAGACCCGCUGAGGCUACUAACGCCGAGAUGUCGCAAAAGGUCUAAAUUCUCUUCUUAAAGCAAAGGUGCUGAAAGCCUGUUUGUUUACUCAAUCAUAAUCAUAUUAUAUUAAUUGUAUAUGCGAGAUAUCUUCUUUCAUUCAAGGUAGCGGAAAAGGCCCAGACUUCUUGUUAAUGGUUGCGAGAGCAGUUAAGUAGAAAGUGGAAUAGCCUGUUUAUUAUAUUAGAAGUCAUAAUGUGCUCUCUAUUGUAGAUGUAGAGGGUGCGCCUGCCUAUUUGUUCUUAAAGGAAGCAAUGUAGUGAAGAAGCAUCAAACUUAAAGGAAGCAAUGUAGUGAAGAAGCAUAAAAAGCAAUGGCAACAUCGCGUGUUAGAGAGUCCGUCCCAAGGUAUAAAUGCUCUUAUUCUUCACAGUUCAGUGAGUUGACGUUCUUCUAUCAUAUGAGGUGCAUACGAGUCAUUAUUAUCCGCCCGAUACAACUACGCAUACCAUACCAUACCUUCUUACCGACCUUUUAUUACACUUUGGUACCCGCUCGCUUUCGGCAGUGAGUAAGGGCAGUGAACAAACAACGGAACCUGUGCACUCCAUUCUCUUCUGCAGUCCGGUUACUUAAUUAUAGGAAUUGCAAG